rnacentral:rRNA from 1 species
GGGCCCGCACAAGCGGUGGAGCAUGUGGUUUAAUUCGAUGCAACGCGAAGAACCUUACCUACUCUUGACAUCCAGAGAACUUUCCAGAGAUGGAUUGGUGCCUUCGGGAACUCUGAGACAGGUGCUGCAUGGCUGUCGUCAGCUCGUGUUGUGAAAUGUUGGGUUAAGUCCCGCAACGAGCGCAACCCUUAUCCUUUGUUGCCAGCGGUUAGGCCGGGAACUCAAAGGAGACUGCCAGUGAUAAACUGGAGGAAGGUGGGGAUGACGUCAAGUCAUCAUGGCCCUUACGAGUAGGGCUACACACGUGCUACAAUGGCGCAUACAAAGAGAAGCGACCUCGCGAGAGCAAGCGGACCUCAUAAAGUGCGUCGUAGUCCGGAUUGGAGUCUGCAACUCGACUCCAUGAAGUCGGAAUCGCUAGUAAUCGUAGAUCAGAAUGCUACGGUGAAUACGUUCCCGGGCCUUGUACACACCGCCCGUCACACCAUGGGAGUGGGUUGCAAAAGAAGUAGGUAGCUUAACCUUCGGGAGGGCGCUUACCACUUUGUGAUUCAUGACUGGGGUGAAGUCGUAACAAGGUAACCGCAGGGGAACCUGCGGUUGGAUCAC